UACGUAGGGCGCAAGCGUUGUCCGGAAUUAUUGGGCGUAAAGAGCUCGUAGGCGGUCUGUCACGUCGGAUGUGAAAGCCCGGGGCUUAACCCCGGGUCUGCAUUCGAUACGGGCAGACUAGAGUGUGGUAGGGGAGAUCGGAAUUCCUGGUGUAGCGGUGAAAUGCGCAGAUAUCAGGAGGAACACCGGUGGCGAAGGCGGGUCUCUGGGCCGAUACUGACGCUGAGGAGCGAAAGCGUGGGGAGCAAACAGG
rnacentral:rRNA from 1 species